CACCAAACGGCGUCGAACCACUUCCUUUUGCUUCGUCUCAGCCUUGCGCAGCUGCCAGAGGCAGCCUUGCACCGUGACACGGCCACCAGCGGCGGCGGGAAGCUCCGCCCGGUUUGAGCUCGUUUUGGAAACAAGCUUGAUAUCUCAAGCUACCGGUCACCAAUCCUCACCAAAAUCCAUCCACAAGCUCGCCUCAACUUCCUGAAACUCCCAGAAGCAGCCUCACACGGCGGCGUGGCCCGUAGCAGUGGCUGCAAGUCAAACCCAACCAAGAACGAGACCGGAGCUAUCGAUCAAGAUAUCUCGAGCUGUAGUGCAUCGUUUUGAUUGAUUCUUUUUCCAGUGGGUUCCCCUUGAUGUUAUUAACAACUCUCUAGAAGGCAUCGAGGCCUGAAAUUGAAGAUUUGACGUCGAAAUCGAGCCUUGCCGGAUUCUGCAAAAUUCUGGAAUUUUUCCGACCACCGAAGCUUUCGAUCGGUAUAUCUCGAGCUACAGACCAUAUUUUUCUGUGAUUCUUGAACCAGUGAGUUCUUCUUGAGUUUCUUAACAACUCUUCAGAAGAAAUCGAAGCCUUAAAUUGACGUUUUUACGUCGAAUUGGAGCUCGCCGUUUUCUGCAGUUUCUCGCCGGUUUCUGGAAAAUUCCGGCCACCUUCAUACUGUUCAAGGUGAUCGACGGUUUGAUUUGGCGGACGAUUCGUGAAAUUGUAUUUUGAGCUGUUAAGAAGACGCAGCGGGAAUUUAGAGCGGGUAAUCCUACAGGACAGGAGAAUCAGGAAGGUGAUCGAGCUGUGUAGAGUAGCUGCUUGUGAUACUCUGAUUUUAUGUUGUGAGGUUCGUUAUGCUCGUUUAGAGUUUUACAAUUUUACUUUGUAAGAGGGAAUUGUAAUAAUUAACUCGAAGUUUACCGAUUUGGAAAUUUUGUGUAAGUGGUGGAGUUGUUUCUGAGAAAAGAA